rnacentral:rRNA from 1 species
GACGGGAGGGGCAAGCGUUACCCGGAAUUACUGGGUGUAAAGGGCAUGUAGGCGGUCUGGUGUGUCAGAUCUGAAAUCCUCUGGCUCAACUGGAGAAGUGGAUUUGAUACUACCAGGCUAGAGUUUGGAAGAAGAAAGUGGAACUACCGGUGUAGCGGUGAAAUGCGUAGAUAUCGGUAGGAACACCAGUGGCGAAGGCGGCUUUCUAGUCCAAAACUGACGCUGAAAUGCGAAAGCGUGGGGAG